rnacentral:rRNA from 1 species
CCUACGGGAGGCAGCAGUGGGGAAUAUUGGACAAUGGGGGGAACCCUGAUCCAGCCAUGCCGCGUGUGUGAAGAAGGCCCUCGGGUUGUAAAGCACUUUCAGUGAGGAAGAACGCCUGGUGGUUAAUACCCAUCAGGAAAGACAUCACUCACAGAAGAAGCACCGGCUAACUCCGUGCCAGCAGCCGCGGUAAUACGGAGGGUGCGAGCGUUAAUCGGAAUUACUGGGCGUAAAGCGCGCGUAGGUGGCUUGAUAAGCCGGUUGUGAAAGCCCCGGGCUCAACCUGGGAACGGCAUCCGGAACUGUCAAGCUAGAGUGCAGGAGAGGAAGGUAGAAUUCCCGGUGUAGCGGUGAAAUGCGUAGAGAUCGGGAGGAAUACCAGUGACGAAGGCGGCCUUCUGGACUGACACUGACACUGAGGUGCGAAAGCGUGGGUAGCAAACAGGAUUAGAUACCCGGGUAGUC